GCUGCGUUCUGUAUUGUUGUGUGUUUGAUGCAUUUUGACUUUAAUCUGGUUCAGGGUGUCUAUCAUUCUGUCACAGCUGUAUGGAUCAGCAGUCACGAUUCAGUGAAGCUUUGAUGGACAACAGGCUUACAUGAUGCUUUGGAGGUUCAGAUGGUGCCUGGAAGAGAACAAUAGACGUUUCGCUGUUAAAGAAAGACUGAAUAAACACACACAGCUGGAAGAGGAAAGUAUAAUAACCUUGUUGGGUCCAGAUUACAGAGAGAGAUAAAGCCUCUGUUAUGAUUCCUCCUGAAAGCCGACAUCAUGUCUUAAGAGUAGGUGAAAUGGCGGAGGUAAGUAGAUUUCUACAUUCUCUUUACAUGUUUAUUUAAUUCUUUAACCCUGUGUACCACAUGUUCCACGAGACGCUACUUUCCUCUGACAACUUUCUCUGGUGUGACGGCUGUUUUCUCACUCUCUCCCGCUGUGUAAAUCUGACCUGUCAGCUCCACACGUGUCCUCACAUCACCGCUGUCAGGGGGUCAUGGGUGAGUCCUGCACGCAUCAUUUGUUCAAAACACAUGUCCUCAUCGCAUUCCGCUCCUUAAAUUAGCUCGAGACACAAGUGAGAACUUUGAUUGGGCUGCAAACCUGUCGAAACAACUGCGGCGGACUCCCACACCAAGCCCACAAAGGCUUGAGGAGGUCCGAAGAUCUUUUAGUUGAGAGCGGACAGCGAGGCGAGCACGACACUGGGAGACUUUCAUUUUUCCUUUGUGAAUUUUGGUUUUCCGACACGGCUCGUUUUUAUUUAUUCGCUUUAUUUCAUUUAUGCGCAAACCUCUCUGAUUGAUGUUAGAUCGAGAUUCCUCAGAUACGUGAAAUGCGAAGCUGUUCUUUUUUUAAAAGCAAAAGGGAAGAUUUUGUGAAUCCGUUUCUAAAUAUUUACAUUCAGAAGCAUCAGCGGUAAGCCGUCGAGCCGGUAUGCGCGCUCUGUUUGCUUUGUAGCAUUACCUCACGCCCCAGCGGGUCACCCAGGGGUCUCCAGCCGUCUCCACCGCCCCGUUCUUAUCGCCCGGGCUUCUCUGUUCUCAGUCAGAGAGGAAGUUUUGACAGCCACACUUUACAACCUCCUCUCCCCCUGCCUGCCUGCCGCGCACAUGCUCUGACAGAAAUCAAGUCCAGUGACCUCAUCCCUCAUUCACCAAACCUACCCCACCCUCCCUGUUCUCUCUCUCUCUCUCUCUC